ACUCGUAGACUCCUACGGGAGGCAGCAGUGGGGGAAAUAUUGCACAAUGGGGCGGGAAGCCUGAUGCAGCAACGCCGCGUGCGGGAUGACGGCCUUCGGGUUGUAAACCGCUUUCGCCUGUGAUGAAGCGUGAGUGACGGUAAUGGGUAAAGAAGCACCGGCUAACUACGUGCCAGCAGCCGCGGUGAUACGUAGGGGUGCGAGCGUUGUCCGGAUUUAUUGGGCGUAAAGGGCUCGUAGGUGGUUGAUCGCGUCGGAAGUGUAAUCUUGGGGCUUAACCCUGAGCGUGCUUUCGAUACGGGUUGACUUGAGGAAGGUAGGGGAGAAUGGAAUUCCUGGUGGAGCGGUGGAAUGCGCAGAUAUCAGGAGGAACACCAGUGGCGAAGGCGGUUCUCUGGGCCUUUCCUGACGCUGAGGAGCGAAAGCGUGGGGAGCGAACAGGCUUAGAUACCCUGGUAG
rnacentral:rRNA from 1 species